GAUAAUAAUUUCGGAUUAGGAUUAUAAUGAUCCUCUGGAAUUGAGUGGGUUAUUGGUUGAAUAAUAUAAUGUCACGUCCCAGAUUACAACAUUUUUCGGGCUCGCCAAUAAAUCUGCUGUACACACAGAAAUUUUUCGUGUAUAUGAAACAAUAGCCAUACCUGCAAACAGAUAGAAGCUACAACAAAAGUAUAAAGCUGCUAAACUAAACAUAUAUAUAUCUGAAUAUCAUAGAAAGGCCAACUGUACAUACAUACUCCAAAACACAACCAUCUCUCAGAACGAAACUAAAACAAAUAUCACUGUAUAUACAUGGCACAAUCAAAACUAUCUCUGAUAGAGGGACUCCUCUAGAAAGGUGAUCGGGGUCGAUAGGGAUCUAGUACGCGACUCCCUUAUCUCAAUUAGAAUCAGCAACAGUAGCAGCAGACAAGAGCUCUGCAAAAAACUUACAACAACAGGGUGUGAGAACUACUGCAAAAC
rnacentral:lncRNA from 1 species